rnacentral:misc_RNA from 1 species
GGGUCUGAGGGAUCUCUAGUU